rnacentral:misc_RNA from 1 species
AUACGCGCGGUCGCGCAUUUGUGACACAGUACGCUAUUCUCGCUCGUCAGAACAGCGCGGAGUGCCGAAUGUGAUGUGUUUCUUCUCUGUUUCUUCUUUUGUACCUAUAUAAUAUCGAUAAUGUUAAAUUAAAACAAAAAACAGAAACAAAGACUUGCACAAAAUUCUAAUCAUGCAUGCUUUCGACCACAACAUAAGAUCCCGCCACUCGCUUAUCUGUCAUAUGUGAUAAUAACGUUAUGGUAUUUCAGCGCCGACACCCGGCACUCGGGCAGUAUCUUGGAUGAGUAACUUUUGGACCAGCCUACCAUUACCAUUGUUAACAAGUAGGUACUCGUCAAGUUCACCGUGGGUAAUUGCUCUGAGUUAUAGUGGAAUCCUGCGUUGAGCCUCCCGAUCAUCUGGCACGUGAUGUCUCGGAUUCAGGAACGGUUGCAGGUGUGAAUUUUUGAAAUUGCACGUCGGCGCGUCUGCACUGCACGCCUGACCAACAGAUUGUACCAUCGAUCGAGAUCCACAGCUGAAUACUCCGACGGUAUGAUUCUGAAACGAUAAAAAUUCGACAAUUGAGAAAUGUUUAUGGCAAAUAAAAUUAGCUAUGGCUCACUAGAAUAAUUUUUGUCAGAUGCGAUGCUUACUUUAGAAUUU